UACGUAGGGUGCGAGCGUUGUCCGGAAUUACUGGGCGUAAAGAGCUCGUAGGUGGUUUGUCGCGUUGUUCGUGAAAUCCCACGGCUUAACUGUGGGCGUGCGGGCGAUACGGGCAGACUGGAGUACUGCAGGGGAGACUGGGAUUCCUGGUGUAGCGGUGGAAUGCGCAGAUAUCAGGAGGAACACCGGUGGCGAAGGCGGGUCUCUGGGCAGUAACUGACGCUGAGGAGCGAAAGCGUGGGGAGCGAACAGG
rnacentral:rRNA from 1 species